GGUGAGUAACACGUGGGUAACCUGCCCAUCAGAAGGGGAUAACACUUGGAAACAGGUGCUAAUACCGUAUAACAAUCGAAACCGCAUGGUUUUGAUUUGAAAGGCGCUUUCGGGUGUCGCUGAUGGGUGGACCCGCGGUGCAUUAGCUAGUUGGUGAGGUAACGGCUCACCAAGGCCACGAUGCAUAGCCGACCUGAGAGGGUGAUCGGCCACAUUGGGACUGAGACACGGCCCAAACUCCUACGGGAGGCAGCAGUAGGGAAUCUUCGGCAAUGGACGAAAGUCUGACCGAGCAACGCCGCGUGAGUGAAGAAGGUUUUCGGAUCGUAAAACUCUCUUGUUAGAGAAGAACAAGGAUGAGAGUAACUGUUCAUCCCUUGACGGUAUCUAACCAGAAAGCCACGGCUAACUACGUGCCAGCAGCCGCGGUAAUACGUAGGUGGCAAGCGUUGUCCGGAUUUAUUGGGCGUAAAGCGAGCGCAGGCGGUUUCUUAAGUCUGAUGUGAAAGCCCCCGGCUCAACCGGGGAGGGUCAUUGGAAACUGGGAGACUUGAGUGCAGAAGAGGAGAGUGGAAUUCCAUGUGUAGCGGUGAAAUGCGUAGAUAUAUGGAGGAACACCAGUGGCGAAGGCGGCUCUCUGGUCUGUAACUGACGCUGAGGCUCGAAAGCGU
rnacentral:rRNA from 1 species